GACCUCAAAUCAGGUAGGACUACCCGCUGAACUUAAGCAUAUCAAUAAGCGGAGGAAAAGAAACUAACAAGGAUUCCCCUAGUAACUGCGAGUGAAGCGGGAAAAGCUCAAAUUUAAAAUCUGGCAGUCUUUGGCUGUCCGAGUUGUAAUCUAGAGAAGUGUUAUCCGCGCUGGACCGUGUACAAGUCUCCUGGAAUGGAGCGUCAUAGAGGGUGAGAAUCCCGUCUUUGACACGGACUACCAGGGCUUUGUGAUGCGCUCUCAAAGAGUCGAGUUGUUUGGGAAUGCAGCUCAAAAUGGGUGGUAAAUUCCAUCUAAAGCUAAAUAUUGGCGAGAGACCGAUAGCGAACAAGUACCGUGAGGGAAAGAUGAAAAGAACUUUGGAAAGAGAGUUAAACAGUACGUGAAAUUGCUGAAAGGGAAACGCUUGAAGUCAGUCGCGUUGUCCAGGGAUCAACCUUGCUUUUGCUUGGUGCACUUUCUGGUUGACGGGUCAGCAUCAAUUUUGACCAUUGGAAAAAGAUUAAGGGAAUGUGACAUCUUCGGAUGUGUUAUAGCCCUUGGUUGCAUACGAUGGUNNNGAUUGAGGAACUCAGCACGCCGCAAGGCCGGGUUUAACC
rnacentral:rRNA from 1 species